GACGGAAGGUGCAAGCGUUGCUCGGAAUCACUGGGCGUAAAGGGUGCGCAGGCGGCGUCGCAAGUCAGGCGUGAAAUCCCCGGGCUUAACCUGGGAACUGCACUUGAAACUACGAUGCUGGAGUAUGGCAGAGGGAGGUGGAAUUCCACGUGUAGCGGUGAAAUGCGUAGAGAUGUGGAGGAACACCGAUGGCGAAGGCAGCCUCCUGGGCCAAUACUGACGCUCAUGCACGAAAGCGUGGGGAGCAAACAGG
rnacentral:rRNA from 1 species